UACGGAGGGGGCUAGCGUUGUUCGGAAUUACUGGGCGUAAAGCGCACGUAGGCGGAUUGUUUAGUUAGGGGUGAAAUCCCGGGGCUCAACCCCGGAACUGCCUUUAAUACUGGCAAUCUAGAGUCCGAGAGAGGUGAGUGGAAUUCCGAGUGUAGAGGUGAAAUUCGUAGAUAUUCGGAGGAACACCAGUGGCGAAGGCGGCUCACUGGCUCGGUACUGACGCUGAGGUGCGAAAGCGUGGGGAGCAAACAGG
rnacentral:rRNA from 1 species